rnacentral:rRNA from 1 species
UACCAGACUCCUACGGGAGGCAGCAGUGGGGAAUAUUGCACAAUGGGGGAAACCCUGAUGCAGCGACGCCGCGUGAGUGAAGAAGUAUUUCGGUAUGUAAAGCUCUCUCAGCAGGGAAGAAAAUGACGGUACCUGAUUAAGAAGCCCCGGCUAACUACGUGCCAGCAGCCGCGGUAAUACGUAGGGGGCAAGCGUUAUCCGGAUUUACUGGGUGUAAAGGGAGCGUAGACGGUUAUGUAAGUCUGGAGUGAAAGGCCGGGGCCCAACCCCGGGACUGCUUUGGAAACUGUGUAACUGGAGUACAGGAGGGGCAGGCGGAAUUCCUGGUGUAGCGGUGAAAUGCGUAGAUAUCAGGAGGAACACCGGCGGCGAAGGCGGCCUGCUGGACUGAAACUGACGUUGAGGCUCGAAAGCGUGGGGAGCAAACAGGAUUAGAUACCCCUGUA